ensembl:ncRNA mir-2498 mir-2498 stem loop
CACAUUUGCCAUAAUCUCCUUAAAAUAGUAAAGGCUGUUAUGCUUAUUUUUGUGUUUUUUACAAAACUGGCAUUCCCGUCUUACUUAUUUUCAGAAAACUUACACCAAAGUG